rnacentral:lncRNA from 1 species
AGAAUCUCGCAAAAAUAGGCGUUUGCGGCGAACCCCGAUGCGUUGUUUGUAUCAGCGACAGUUUGCCACGAGGGAGUUGCCGAGAAUGAGCCGGCACUGAUCUGUUUGCGUGAAAUGAAAGGUGAAAGGUCAGUAUUUUUGAUUAUUGUGCCACUGACAAUGAUGAGCAGUUGGCCGUGGAUAUUAAACUGAUAAACUGUGGCUAGACAACUGAUAUAUUGUGGACAUUACGCUCGUUGCGGCAAUUAUGGCGCGAGUUCCACGUGCCAUUGGGGCUGAUAUUGCUAAUUUAGAUUAUUUACUUUGUAUUUGAGCCUUAAGAUCUAGCACAUUGUAAAACUGGUACAUUUCCUCGUGCAUUUGGGCAGUGGCAGGUGUAAUAGGUUGUACUGUUGUGUGUCACCAGCUGAGCGUGAUCCAGCUGAUGUACCAGACGGGAACCAGUCGAGUGUGAGCCGACUGGCCACUUGUCCCACCGCUGCGCCAAAAACACAUCUGGCUGGCCAGCGGUGGCUGGACACACUGGUGGACGACGGCGGAGGGCAGGAGGACGUCUGUAGCUUUCUGGCGGGUCGCCGGUGAGCGACUCACGGCUGGACAGACGCGCGGUUCGCCGAGGACGUCUGGAUGGAGCGGGCGGCGUCCUGUGUCGCCGAGCUGGCUGGUGACCGGCGGUCGGCGCGGUCAGGAUGCUGUUCGUGGGGACUCACCUCUGCGGGCCGUGGCUUCUGCGUGCUCGAGCUGGCGCUGCAUGCCGUCUGGGGUCGGCUCGCCGCGUCGCUGAUGCCGGAAGCUGACGGAGGGCAUCGGAUGGCGUGUUGUGUUAUCGAAGGGCGAGCGGCGGCUCUGAGUGAUUCGGAGCGGGCCGCGCGUCGGCUCGUGUCGCGUCUCGUGGUGUGGCGCUAGGCGUCAGUGAGACAGUGUUUGUGUUGUGUGCCGUGCGCUCCGGACGCCUCGGCCAUGAACUCUCUGAAGUAUUAACGACUCUGGUGUCGUAGAAGAUGGUCUUUGUGUUCGAGCUGGCGGCUACCAGGCCUUCUGUGUUGUGUACUGAAGGUAGUUCGUUGUGGCAGUGAACUGACGCUGUGUAUGGCUCAUGCGGCUCAGGGAGUUUCCUCCGAAACUGGGGGGAGGAUGUUGUGACUUGUUUUGAUUUAGUUGCGGCGAUCGGACGAGAAUCUCGCAAAAAUAGGCGUUUGCGGCGAACCCCGAUGCGUUGUUUGUAUCAGCGACAGUUUGCCACGAGGGAGUUGCCGAGAAUGAGCCGGCACUGAUCUGUUUGCGUGAAAUGAAAGGUGAAAGCUGAGCGUGAUCCAGCUGAUGUACCAGACGGGAACCAGUCGAGUGUGAGCCGACUGGCCACUUGUCCCACCGCUGCGCCAAAAACACAUCUGGUCAGUAAUUGCUAUCUUUAUUUGUAACAGAACAAAUGCCAGUUGUAACUUGUCAUUUCUGCUGAUUGGAAUUUAUGUGCAUCUGGCAAAUGUGCAUUUUGUGUCCGCAUUUCGUACAAUGUGUGAACUGUCCGCAUCAAUGUCCGCAUUUGAUCCUUGGUUAUGUUGUAAAUGUGAUUAUUGGUUGUUCUUUUGCAGAAAACCACACACUCUUUGGACUUGCUGCACACAUGUUCUGGAUUCCAAUCAUGUUCUGCAAUACCAUGUCUUUCCUAUGUACCUUUUUUGUUUCUUUUAU